rnacentral:rRNA from 1 species
UUAAUCGGAAUUACUGGGCGUAAAGCGUGCGCAGGCGGCUUUGCAAGACAGAGGUGAAAUCCCCGGGCUCAACCUGGGAACUGCCUUUGUGACUGCAAGGCUAGAGUACGGCAGAGGGGGAUGGAAUUCCGCGUGUAGCAGUGAAAUGCGUAGAUAUGCGGAGGAACACCGAUGGCGAAGGCAAUCCCCUGGGCCUGUACUGACGCUCAUGCACGAAAGCGUGGGGAGCAAACAGGAUUAGAUACCCUGGUAGUCAAGGGCG